AGUGAGAGGUGCAGUAGGAGGUGCAGGUGCAGUGAGAGGUGCAGGUGCAGGAAGAGGAGCAGGCCCAAGGAGAGGGCAAGGUAGAGGUGUAAGAAUGCGUGGUGGUGGCAUUCCAAGGGCUGCAAGAACAGUAGUCAGUGAUGAAAUUCGUGCCACUAUCAUUGACCAUGUAAUCAACCACGGUCUCUCACUAAGAGAGGCUGGUGAAAGAGUGCAACCCAAUUUGAGGCGGUCAACGGUUGCCUCCAUUAUUCACAUCUUUCAACAAACCAACAGGUGAGUAUUGCAUUUUACAUGGAUUGUUUCUAUUCUCACUUGACUUGUCAAUAAGGUCAUACAGUAAUGCAUAUGUCGAUUUUUUUUCCCCUUUAAAGAAUGCAACGUCUUCCACCCUCUGGGGGAAGAGGAAAGCUCCUCAAUAAUGAUCAAGAGCUUGCCAUUGUAGAAAUGGUUGUUGCAAAUAAUGCAUUAAAACUGCAUGAAAUUAAAACUAGAAUUGUGGAGGACCAUGAGAUAUUUGGCAAUAUAGAAAGCAUCAGCUUCACAACCAUUACACGGACAUUGUCCAAACACAGAGUGCGGAUGAAGCAGCUCUACACUGUUCCCUUUGAGAGGAACAGUGAGAGAGUCAAGGAGCUACGACGACAAUAUGUCCAGAUGAGGCAGGAUUCAAUCUAUCCAAAAGGCGUCGACGUGGACGAAAUAUAAUUGGAAAAAGGGCCACAGUUGAUGUGCCAGGACAGAGAGGGGCAAACAUUAACAUGUGUGCAGCAAUGGCAAAUGCAGGAUUACUCCUUCACAGAUGUCAGGUUGGACCCUAUAAUACCGAGCGCCUCCUUGCCUUUCUCAAUGAUCUCCACAAGCGCCUGGUACCAGAGCAGGAUCAGGAGGGUGAAAACAUGAGGACCUUUGUAAUUACCUGGGACAAUGUUGCUUUCCAUCAUUCGCAAGCAAUAACAGCAUGGUUUGAAGUCCACCCAAGACUGGUAAGUCUCUUCCUUCCACCCUAUUCACCUUUCCUCAACCCCAUAGAGGAGUUCUUUUCUGCAUGGAGGUGGAAGGUUUAUGACCAUCAGCCACAUGACCAGAUGUCCCUCCUUGAAGCCAUGGAUGCUGGCUGCAGGGACAUCACAGUUCAAGAUUGCCAAGGGUGGAUCCGACAUACCAAGCGGUUUUAUCCCAGGUGCAUCGCCUUGGAUGAUAUCAGAUGUGAUGUUGACGAAAACAUGUGGCCUAACCCUGAAGAUCGCAGGGAUUAGAUACAGUAAUUUUGUGCUAUUUUUAGU